GUCAUACAAUGGUCGGUACAGAGGGUUGCCAACCCGCGAGGGGGGAGCUAAUCCCACAAAGCCGAUCGUAGUCCGGAUCGCAGUCUGCAACUCGACUGCGUGAAGUCGGAAUCGCUAGUAAUCGUGGAUCAGCAUGUCACGGUGAAUACGUUCCCGGGUCUU
rnacentral:rRNA from 1 species